UAGGGAAUCUUCCGCAAUGGGCGAAAGCCUGACGGAGCAACGCCGCGUGAGUGAUGAAGGUCUUCGGAUCGUAAAACUCUGUUAUUAGGGAAGAACAAAUGUGUAAGUAACUAUGCACGUCUUGACGGUACCUAAUCAGAAUGCCACGGCUAACUACGUGCCAGCAGCCGCGGUAAUACGUAGGUGGCAAGCGUUAUCCGGAAUUAUUGGGCGUAAAGCGCGCGUAGGCGGUUUUUUAAGUCUGAUGUGAAAGCCCACGGCUCAACCGUGGAGGGUCAUUGGAAACUGGAAAACUUGAGUGCAGAAGAGGAAAGUGGAAUUACAUGUGUAGCGGUGAAAUGCGCAGAGAUAUGGAGGAACACCAGUGGCGAAGGCGACUUUCUGGUCUGUAACUGACGCUGAUGUGCGAAAGCGUGGGGAUCAAACAGG
rnacentral:rRNA from 1 species